rnacentral:rRNA from 1 species
UACAGAGGGUGCGAGCGUUAAUCGGAAUUACUGGGCGUAAAGCGCACGUAGUCGGCUUUGCAAGUCGGUUGUGAAAUCCCCGGGCUCAACCUGGGAACUGCAUCCGAAGACUUGCAUUGCUAGAGUAUGGGAGAGGGAAGCGGAAUUUCUGGUGUAGCAGUGAAAUGCGUAGAUAUCAAGAAGGAACAUCAGUGGCGAAAGGCGGCUUCCUGGA